rnacentral:rRNA from 1 species
UACGUAGGGGGCGAGCGUUGUCCGGAUUUAUUGGGCGUAAAGAGCGUGUAGGCGGUUCGGUAAGUCUGUCGUGAAUCCUGAGGCUCAACCUCGGGCGUGCGAUGGAUACUGCCGGGCUAGAGGGUGGUAGAGGCGAGUGGAAUUCCCGGUGUAGCGGUGAAAUGCGCAGAUAUCAGGAGGAACACCUAUUGCGAAGGCAGCUCGCUGGGACGUAACUGACGCUGAGACGCGAAAGCGUGGGGAGCAAACAGG